rnacentral:sRNA from 1 species
AUUCUGCCCAUGCGGGGAAGGAUGAGAAGCUUCGACCAAGGUUCGACUCGAGCGCCAGCGAGAGAGCGUUGCCGCAGGCAACGACCCGAAGGGCGAAGCGCGCAGAGCUGAGUAAUCCUUCCCCCACCACCA